rnacentral:rRNA from 1 species
CAGCCGCCGCGGGAAUACGAAGGGGGCUAGCGUUGCUCGGAAUUACUGGGCGUAAAGGGAGCGUAGGCGGAUGAAUUAGUCAGGGGUGAAAUCCCGGGGCUCAACCUCGGAACUGCCUUUGAUACUGUUCAUCUUGAGUAUGGGAGAGGUGUGUGGAACUCCGAGUGUAGAGGUGAAAUUCGUAGAUAUUCGGAAGAACACCAGUGGCGAAGGCGACACACUGGCCCAUUACUGACGCUGAGGCUCGAAAGCGUGGGGAGCAAACAGGAUUAGAUACCCCUGUAGUCCCUGUCUCUUAUAC